rnacentral:rRNA from 1 species
AGUCAUGAGCAACAACUGGAGGGCAAGUCUGGUGCCAGCAGCUGCGGUAAUUCCAGCUCCAAGGGCGUAUACUAACAUUGCUGCUGUUAAAACACUUGUAGUCUGCCUCUGGGAUGCAGGUCUGCUGGGUGGCCGGUGGGGGUGGCCCCUGUGUGGCCUGGGUGAAGCACCCUAACCGGUGUCUGAGCCUGGGUUUGUGCAGGGGUCCCCACUGGAAUCAAACCCCCAGCAGUAUGUCCCUGCUCCCAACUCUUUCACAGACACUAUGGAUGGUGUGAUUUGUCCCUGCUCCAAGCCUCCUUUGGUGGAGGUCAAAGUGGUGUUUGCACCCAAGGCUUGUGUGAAUCUCUGGCAGGAUGGAGCCAUUGCCCUUGUGAAAUGUGUGAUGGAAGAACUUCAGCCCACCUCUGGGACCCACCAUCAAGCAACCCUGGAAAACUCAGUGUGCCUCAAGCAGCCUGUUAUUUAUUCUCUCAACUCUAGACAUGGCUGGAUGCUCAUCCAUGGAAUUGCACAGCAUCGACCAGAUAUCUAUGGCAGCACAGUUGUGCCAGUCUUGGUGCCAAUCCGGAGAAUGUGGUACUGUGCCCUGCUGAGUCUGGGUGGUUCUGGCACAGCCCCUCUCCCCACCCUCUCCGGAGGUGCUGGGGUCUGCUGGGUUCCCUGCCUGCUGCUCUGGACCAGUCUGUGGUGCAGUCACCGAUCGGAAGUGAUGGGACUGCUCAGGGUGGAAGGUACUGCAACGCCAGAGGUGAAAUUCUUAGACCGCUGCAUGACCAACUGCAGCGAAGGCGUUCUGCAAGGGCAUGUUCGUCGAUCAAGAAUGAGAGCUUGGGGAGCGAAGAUGAUCAGACACCGUCGUAGUCCAAGGCUGUAAACCAUGUCAGCUCGGAAUUGGAUGGGCAAUUCUAUUGCAGCACCCAUUCAGCUCCAUGCCCCCUGCAACGAGAAAUCCAAGC